rnacentral:rRNA from 1 species
GCCAGCCCGCUCAGAACUUAAAGGAAUGACGGGGCCGCACAAGCGGUGGAGCAUGUGGUUUAAUUCGAUGAUACGCGAGGAACCUUACCUGGGCUCAAAUGUAUGUUGACGUAUUCUGAAAGGGAUACUUCUUCGGACAAUAUACAAGGUGCUGCAUGGUUGUCGUCAGCUCGUGCCGUGAGGUGUCGGGUUAAGUCCCAUAACGAGCGCAACCCCUAUCAUUAGUUGCCAUCAGGUCAAGCUGGGGACUCUAAUGAAACUGCCUACGCAAGUAGUGAGGAAGGUGGGGAUGACGUCAAAUCAGCACGGCCCUUACGUCCAGAGCUACACACGUGCUACAAUGGUCGGUACAAAGGGUUGCCAAGCCGCGAGGUGGAGCUAAUCCCAUAAAACCGAUCGUAGUCCGGAUCGCAGUCUGCAACUCGACUGCGUGAAGUCGGAAUCGCUAGUAAUCGUGAAUCAGAAUGUCACGGUGAAUACGUUCCCGGGCCUU